rnacentral:rRNA from 1 species
UUACGACUACAUAUCAGGCAUAUCAAUAAGCGGAGGAAAAGAAACUAACUAGGAUUCCCUCAGUAACGGCGAGUGAAGCGGGAAGAGCUCAAAUUUGAAAUCUUCAAGGUUUUACCUUGACGAAUUGUAGUUUAAAGAAGUGUUUUCUGUUGGUGUUUUGGUAAAAGUUCUUUGGAAUAGGACGUCAUAGAGGGUGAGAAUCCCGUAUUUGACCAUUACUUCCAGCGUUGUGAUACACUUUCAAAGAGUCGGAUUGUUUGGGAAUGCGGUCCAAAAUGGGUGGUAAAUUUCAUCUAAAGCUAAAUAUUGGCGAGAGACCGAUAGCGAACAAGUACCGUGAGGGAAAGAUGAAAAGAACUUUGAAAAGAGAGUUAAACAGUACGUGAAAUUGUCAAAAGGGAAGCGUUUGACACCAGUGUUGUUUUCUCGAAAAUCAAUUAAAAAUGACUUGAUUUUGUGUUGUAUUGACCUUAAAAGCUUUCUUCACUCUUUUCCUGUUAUUUUUAAUGCACUUUUCGUUUAACAAGUCAACAUCAAUUUCUUUUGUUGUAAAAGAGUCAUUGGAAGGUGGCUUUCACUUCGGUGAAAGUGUUUAUAGCCUUUGGCUUCUGCAAUCGGAGAGAUUGAGGUCUGCAGCGUAGAUCCUUCGGGGUUAGAUACAUUUGUGCUAAGUUAUAGUUUUUCAUAGACAACAUGUUGACUAUGAUUAAUCAUGUAGCUUACUCGCUUAUGCUAUUUUACCUACGCUUAGGAUGUUGAAUCUGUGCGAGACUAC